UGGGGAAUAUUGCACAAUGGGCGCAAGCCUGAUGCAGCCAUGCCGCGUGUAUGAAGAAGGCCUUCGGGUUGUAAAGUACUUUCAGCGGGGAGGAAGGCGAUAAGGUUAAUAACCUUGUCGAUUGACGUUACCCGCAGAAGAAGCACCGGCUAACUCCGUGCCAGCAGCCGCGGUAAUACGGAGGGGGCAAGCGUUAAUCGGAAUUACUGGGCGUAAAGCGCACGCAGGCGGUCUGUCAAGUCGGAUGUGAAAUCCCCGGGCUCAACCUGGGAACUGCAUUCGAAACUGGCAGGCUAGAGUCUUGUAGAGGGGGGUAGAAUUCCAGGUGUAGCGGUGAAAUGCGUAGAGAUCUGGAGGAAUACCGGUGGCGAAGGCGGCCCCCUGGACAAAGACUGACGCUCAGGUGCGAAAGCGUGGGGAGCAAAAA
rnacentral:rRNA from 1 species